AGGGAGACAUGCACUGAUCAAUCCAUGAUUUUGUGGGUUUUUUCUCCCCCCCUUUAUUCGUUUUAUUUAUUUAUUUAUUUUUCGGGGAGGCUACAGCAAGGAAUUGAAGCCGUAAUUUAGAGGUGCCAUAUGGUUGUCCGUUUUUGUACGUUAACCGCACUAAACGCAAAACAAUUCUGUAUGGAUUUUGGAGUCAUUGAGAGCGCCGCUGGAUGUAGACCAAAUAUCAAAGCGUUGGAUGUAGGCGACGUCAUAAAUACAUAGGGUUUGUAAUUACCUUAGUGGGGGUUAAAAUGAAGCGCUAUGUCGUGAGUUGAAGGGUCUCUGAAUCAAUUUUAACUGGAUUGGAAAAAAACACAAGCCCUCUGUAGAGGAAAUAAAAACCUGUUUUUAAAAUGAGAUUUCAAAAUCGGCGAUGUUGAAGACGGAGAUGAUUAAUUCAGCUUCUUUAUUAGCCAAGUCUUGUAUAAUUUACUUGUUUUUACCGCUGAUUUGCGAUUCUUAGCUGGAAACAACUUUGGUAAAUUGUUGUCCUGUUAAAGCAAUGGUAAAUGUUUUAUAUCAAUUUUAUUACUGAAUCGUACUGGAAUGACGACUGUCACUGACACUGCUUGCUAGCGAUAACAUUCGUCUGUAACCAGCAUUUUAAAAUCCGAUUUUAACUUUGUUAUUCAUUUUAUUAGCAAAAUGGUUUACCCGCGUUUUUCUCAGCCUUGCGAGCGAUUUAGUGUUUUCUCUGACCCUCAAACUCAAUGAGCAGUAAAAUCAGAGAGGACGCGUACACUGAUUUGUAAGCAGCGGAGAUGGGCGAAGUAUGAAAUAAAGGAAUUUAAAGAUUUUGAGUAAAAAGCUCUACUCCACAAAACUACGGCAUUUAAUAAAAUACCAGUUUUACAAACUCGCAACCUAGAUUGCCAUCGAACAAACAGAGAUUUAAAUAGCAUAGCUUCGGUUAAAGUGUUUGUCUAAUAACCAGCCAAUAAUUGUUAAGAGCGAUAUUUUAAUUUUAUUUUUAAAUGAUCGUUGUAAUAUUCCAGCAGUCUCUUUAAAAAUACAGGGAUUCUGUCACCUCAGGAUAGCAGCAACCGACACAUUUAUGUGGUGCAUCGUUUGAAGGUACCUCCCGCGAAUUCCUGUACUCCACGUUUUUUUAUGAAGAAAAGGAAACUGCAGCUAUACAUAUAGCUGGUUUCAACAGUUAGAGAGGAUUUAAGAUGUCUUUCUCAGCCAGAACUAUGGGCAUGUACGCACGUCUUACUGCCUGGAUGCUCUUUGCUGGUGUCUGCUCAGCCAAACGCCUGGUGAUGGUGCAGCCUGGCCCACUGGUGCGCACAGAGGGCUCCCACGCCACCAUCUGGUGCAAUGUGACAGGCUACAGGGGCGCCCUGGUGCAGGACUUCGAGUGGUCCAUGUAUCUGCCAUCGGCACCAGAGCGCGAGAUCCGCGUGGUGAGCACUGCCCAGGAGGAUUAUGCGUAUGCUGCCUAUGCCACCCGUGUCGCCUCCGGUGAUGUCUACGUGGAGCGGCUGGCUCCUGACUCCGUCAUGCUGCACAUCAGCAGGCUGCAGGCCCGCGACCAGGGUCUGUUUGAGUGCUACACGCCCAACACUGAUGGGGAGUUCCUGGGCUCCUACAGUGCUAGGACGAACCUUACCGUCAUCCCAGACACGCUGAGUGUGACAUCCCCCUCGCAGGCGCUCAGCAGGGUGGAGGGCGACUCACUGCAGCUGAACUGUGAGGUGAGCCGGCAGACGCUGCAGCACACUCAUCUGUCAGUGGGCUGGUACCUGCGUGCUGAGCCUGGCACCCCGCCCCUGGACCUGCUCACGCUGUCCCGCGACUUCGUGCUCCGCGCCGGCACCCCCUACAAGCAGCGCUUUGCUUCCGGAGACCUCCGCCUGGACAAGAUGGGCAGUACGGCCUACCGCCUCACCAUCCACCGGCUGCAGCCCGCCGACCAGGGCUUGUUGUACUGCGAGGCAUCCGAGUGGAUCCAGGACCCUGACCACUCCUGGUACUCCAUGACCCGGAAGCAGUCGGAAAAGACUCCGCUCAAGGUGCAGCCCGCAGAUCGGGACUUUAACAUCCAGCUGAGCACCGUGAGACGGGCCUACACUACAGGCGAGGCCCUCGAAUUACGCUGCGCCAUUGAUGCGCAGAAUAUUCUGGAGCGCUACUUCUCUGUGUCCUGGGUGUUUAGCAGUUCGCCAGUGGCAAUGGUCGGGCCUAAUGCGGUACCGUUGCUAGCUGGGGAUUACGUGCAGCGUGAGGCGACUGGACAGCUCACGGUACGCAAGGAGAGUCAAGCUGUCUACCUGCUGAGACUGCAGAACCUGCGGCCUGAGGAUGCUGGGAAAUACAUCUGCCGCGUCACUGAGCGUGAGCGCACCCUCACUGGGGACUUCAUCGACCGGAGCAAGAGGUCCCGCAACGUGCAGGUCACUGUCCAGCCUCCCCGAAGCAAUCUGACUGUAUCAUUAAUCAGUAACUCCACGGAUAUCGAGGAGAGUGGAACCAUCCAGCUAACUUGUGAGGCCCAGUCCAUCUCCAGCAAGGUGGCUGGCCUAUCCGUCACGUGGCGGCGACUGGACAAGAAGGGUGGCACAGAGCAACACAUUGCUGCCCUAGACCAGGAGGGUGUGGUCAGGCUGAGCCCUGCUUACAGCGAUCGUGCAGCCUAUGGGGAGAUCCGAGCAGAGCGCACUGACAUUGACACAUUCUCCCUAUCCAUCUACAACGUCCUGCCCAGUGACGAGGGCCAAUAUGAGUGUGAGGUCACAGAGUGGCUCCCAGGGCCUAACAGCACAUGGGACAGUGUUGGGGAGCAGACCGCAGCCACACACGUGAUGGUCCGGGACAAAGAGCCCUCCUUCUUCGUGUUUGCCUCAUCCCGGACGCCCAGCGUGACAUACGGUGACUCAUUCGACCUACAAUGCAUCGUGAAGCCACAGCAUGAUCCACGGAUGCCAACCGCUGUCACCUGGCGCUUCCAGCCGCAGCUGGAUGGACUACCUGAUGCUGCCUUCCGUGACCUGAUGACGUUUUCGUAUGACGGCAUGCUCCGGUGGGGUGAGGUGGCGCCUGGCCUGGGAACCAGGAUCACUGUGGAACAUGCCGCCAGCAGCAGUAACUUCCGCCUGAGCGUAAACCGGGCCAGCCCUAGGGAGGCAGGCACCUAUCUGUGUUCUGCACAGCUAUGGAGGAGGAAUUACAACCACACCUGGAGCAUGGUGACGGAGAAGAACUCCAACCUCCUGGGAAUCAAUGUGCUGAAGCCAGUGAGCAAGCUGACCCUCCAGCAGACCAAUCAGACCGUGGUGCUCGUGGAGGAUGGCCGCAUUCAGAUUAACUGCUCCAUUGUGGCCCAGACCAGUCUUGAGGCACAGCAUGCAGUGCUGUGGUAUACCCGCCGGAGCAGGACUGGCGGGGCUGGGGAGGCACAGGCCGAGCUCCUGCUGAAGGUUGACCAGGAGUCCGCACUGACGUAUGGCGCCUUCGCAGAGGAGGAGUGCCUGCAAAGUCGAGUACAGGCGGAGCGUCUCUCAAGCCAGGUGCAUCGCCUCACACUGCACCGCGCCGAGCUCGCCGAUUCAGGCUACUACUUCUGUGUGGUGGAGGAGUGGCUGUCUGACCCCAGUGGCGCCUGGUACCUACUGGGCCGCGAGGCCUCCGGCUUCACCAAGGUGUUGGUGACGCAGCCAGAGGUCCACUUGCAGGUUAUGGAGGCUGACUCCAACGUGACUGUCGAGGAGGCUGGCUCGAUCCGGCUGGGCUGUAGCAUCCCAUCCCAGUCCAGUCGGGACUCUCGCUUCUCUGUGUCCUGGUAUGUGUCUCGUGCAAUGCACGAGGGCAUGACUGAGGACUGCAUCUUCUCCAUCGGCCAUGACGCUGUUUUUGGGAACGGAAACUGCAGCCCCGCUGAGGUACCGGGGCCGGAUUCACGCUUGCGGUUUGAGAGGCCAUCCUCCGACCAUUACAGCCUGAGUGUGCAGCAGGUGCAGCCUAGUGACAGAGGAAACUAUUCCUGCCUUGUGGAGGAAUGGCUGCAGAACCCACGUGGCGUGUGGUACCGCCUCACCACCAGCCGCUCUGGCAUCACUGUGGUGACUGUACUGCCCCCAGCCUCCACGCUCAUGUCAGUCGUCUGCUCCAGCAACUCGCUCUUCUACUUCGUUUUCUUCUACCCAUUCCCUGUCUUUGGCCUGCUGUUCAUCACCAUUCUCCUGGUGCGCUACAAAAGUCGUGGCACAUCUAAGAACCAGGAGGCCAAGAAUGGCGCCCCCCUUCUGUGGAUCAAGGAGCCGCACAUCAACUAUUCCCCCACUUGCCUGGAUCCUCCGACCUUGGGUCUGCAGGCAGGGUGUGUGGAGUAGUUCUCAUGUUAUGGCUACCAGCAAUGAUUAUGACAGCUACCACUUAACCCGAACAUCUUCCAGACUUUCCUGCAUCUGCCCUGGGCUGGAUCCUUAGGCUAAGCCCCACACCCCAACCCCCAUCUCAUGAGCUAUCCUACACCAACUCGCACUAGACACUAAUGACUUUCUGUGGAAAAAGAGCACUUCCUGACCUAAAUUGGAAUCAUUCGUCUUGGUCUGCCCUUGGAUGUUGCCAUGGCAGUUAUUCCCCAUUUAGGGAUUUUUGGUGAUUUCUUUAACACUUAGUAUUUCUAUAUGACACACACCAUUUUGAGCACCUGUUCACAAAAUGACCAUGGUUAUCUUUGAAGACAAAUUCCAUACGCCCAGAAUGCACAGCUGGACUGAUGUAAAGUUGUGAGAAAGACAGUUGCAGCAGGAGCAAUCAUUCUGGUGGUAAAUAAUCUUUUCUUAUGGCAUGUCCAGUCAGGGCUGCACUGAGAGAGUGCCAUUGAGAUUUUUAGAAUUCAAGUGAGACUCUGGGGGGGCUCAAUCUCUGUUUUGGAUUACUUCCCCGUAUUCAGUGUCACACACUGGGAGUCCUGCAGUUAAGUGACUGGCUCUGUCAUCGUGUUAAAGCUUUGGGAUGUCCUUAUUUUUUCUGUUCAUUUAUUAAGUGUGUUGGUAUGGAUAAAACCAAGACAGAGACUAAACACACAGCUGUUGUAAAAGCUUCGUAGAACCUGGUCUUUUCAGAGUUCUAUGCAUUUUUGCCAUUCUGGCCCCUGUGAACCUUCUGGAAGCUCUCUGAAAGUUCACACUGCUAUGAAGUUAUCGUCAUUGUCAGAGGAGCCGAGAGAGAGAGCUGUACCUACUGCCAUCUGCAGGACCAAUGGAAAACAGCAGUAAACGUAAUAAAACCCCUGAAAAUAAGAAUGAUCCAUCUAUCAGUUAGUCAGGCUUUCUCAACAAUGUGAUGUCUUUUAAUAAGCAUUAGUUUAAACAGAAACUCAUUUUGAUAAAUGAAAUAAGUGAAAGAGCACCGUGUGGGUUUUGAUUCAUAUGGAUGCAGAUUCUACCUGGUUGGACAACAGCAGUGUGACAGCGAAUCAAGGAUGGGCCCCUUUUAUGAAUGUCCUGUCAGCACUAAAUAGGAGCAAGGCGGGUCACUGCAUAACUGGAAAGGGCUGGACAUGCUCUUGAGUCAGAUGGAUCACAUAAACAGUUUAUAGUAGUGACGUAUUUGUGUUCACAUGUGUGCCGCUGUGUCCCUUGGACAUCAAGGACCUUUACCGUCACCCUGGACAGUGCUUCUGCAUGUUAUGUGAGUGACGUAAUCCAGUAAUUGCAAAGGCAUGGUAGGCAUAUAAGACCCAAACUUGCAGUGGACAAAAAAAAAGUGAUCUGGAUGCCAACUUUGAUCACACAUUCUUCUGUCCUUUUGCAAGCAAGUGUCACAUGACUCUCGCUGACGAUGUCUGCACUUUGCUUAUGUCUAUGUGGACAGUGAAAACUGCCUAACUAGAGCACUGUUGCAUGGCCAGUGAGGUGGGAGCAUGCAAGGAUGUUUCUGGAAGUUAUGACGUUUUAUUUUUUUGCUGUGGGCCAAAUGUGUAUUGCAUGACUACCAGGAAAAAUGUAAGUGUUCUGUUACUGAAUAGACUCAAUCAGCAGUCGACAGCCUUUUGCUGCUUCAUACGCUCUAGUGAGACUGACGCUUGCUCCUUUAUGUUUCCCUGAUGUUUAUGUAAGUCUGAACAAGAAAGGAAACCGAUAUUAUUGUCAAGCAGGUACCUGAUUGUGAUAUUACUAGUGCCAUACUCCAUGACACAGUUGUAAACAUAGUGACUGCCUGCUCCAUGUUCACACGCUGACUUUGGUAACGGACUCUUUUUCAUUAUCAGUUAAUUGGGAAAUUGUGUCCGUGUUCAUUUAUUUAUUUUUUGACAAUUCAGCAAUAACUUAGAUGGUUUGCAGCCUGACAAAUAUUUUUGAUCUUGAAAUUGCAGGUCUACAAAACAAGGUGAGUGAUUCUGAUAGAGCAGUGAGGCUGUCUCAGACUUGCUUGCUGGUCUUUGCCAGUAUGAGUGGCAGGGUCAUUUCAUUCAGUUAGAGACCCCGUGUCUCCUGUACAGAAGGAAAUUGGAUGCAUUGGUGUAGUGAUUACAACACAGCACCAUUCAAGCUGUACAGCAUCAUUGUGAGUUAUUUUUGUUAUUAUAUACCUAACCAAUUCUGAUCAGUCAUACAAGGUUUCUAUAACAUAUACAAAUGUUUAGUUUUGACUAUAUCCUACCCCAAGAGUAGCUGCAUAAGCAUUGUGGUUGUGUGUUCAGUGUGGCAAGUGUGGCUUUCUAUUAUUUUUUAUUAUAAUGAUUAUUAUUCUUUUUUUUUGAAGUGUUGUGUUUUCUAUUUUUUUAAGUAUGUUGUACAGAACCUGUGCACUGAAUUAAAAAUAGAGAUUCAUGGCUUUUGACCAUGUGUUUUUUUCAUACAUUUUUUAUUAUCUACUGUCUGAAUGAUUUUUAAAGUGCUCUUUUAAGUCUGCUAUCAUCAAAUCUAAUAAUAAAGAUAUAUAAUACAGAUUUCAGAACAAGAAUAUGAGGAUUGGUGUAACAUUUUAGAUAACUGAAAGCAUCAGCUGUAAUUUAUCACUGCUGUUUGCUUUUGGCCCCAAGCUGUAAGCCAGGGAGAGUUUUACAAUGAUGCAUAGCAAGAAGGUGCCAGUAAAUCAAGCCUAAGAGCCCAGGGCUCUAAUCACUCCUCCCCAAUAAGCUGUUUUUUUUACCCACACUGAGUUUCACCAGCCUGCCUAGAAUAAGGUAACUGUGUACACAGUCAGAGAACCACAUACACGUUAUCAGACAUUUAUCUGCAGUCAGUGAGAAGACACGGGGAUUGCAUUGAUAUGAUAAACCCAUAAUCCCAUGUGUACCUCUUUAGCAUUCAGCCUUAAUCCUCCACAGGCAGCAGUUAUAAAUCUUAGGAAUGAUUCUUUCUUCUCCUUUCACUGGGAACCAGGUACCCAGGUAUUCACUUUAGAACCCAGAAUGGGACCCAGUCAUUCACUUUAGGUUCUUUAUAUACACAGGUCCUCAAUGGGCAGCUGGACUCCUGGAACUGAGCUUUGUGGGCUUAGGGGGGCUGAGGUCUUGGCAUAAAAUGCAGUUACUAAACCCACAAAUGUGUUCACAUGCAUCUUUGACUGGCACUCAGAUUAAUUUAGGGCAGGGGUCACCAUCAUGGUGCCCCCAAGGGCCACAUGAGUCGCCCGCUGACCUGUUCUAAAAAUAGCAUAACUCACCAGUGUAUAAAAUUUAAUUUUAUCCUGUUGCUAUUCUAGGGCUCUAUGAUUUCCUCGUUAUUUUUAUUUAUUUUCAAUAAAUAAAAUGGAAUCCGUUGUAAAACGCGGAAUGUCGUAUAAUUCACUGAUAUCGGUGUGUGGGCAAAGUAAAGCAAUGGUUUCUAAUAAAUUUUGGCUGCUGUAGCUCCCUGUACGCAUUACCUGUUGAGGCAGGAGUCAGCUUUACACACACAAACGCAGAGACACAGAGGAAAAAAGUCAGUGGUCAGCUAUGGCGAAACAGCUGAAACACCGAAGUCCUCAGAAAAAUUACGGAAUUCGACUCUUAGUGCUAAGUUUAUAGCGAAACAAUACCCAAAGAACUUUUAUGAAUCGGGAGAACAACUCUUUUGUAAGUUUUACCAGCACACGAUAGACUGGACCCGCAAAAACACAUGUGACGACCACUUACUGUACAGUCAAAGACUCACAUCAGAAACAGAGACAAAAAGCAAACUAGCGUGAGCCGCUCACUCCAGCAGUAUUGGUCAUGCAAACAAAUCAGCUGAAAAAAGACGUGAGCUUAUUGAAGAUUUUGUUACUCUGUGUGAAAAGUUAGACAUUCCUUUAGAAAAAUGAAAAAGCUACGUUCGCUUUUGGUCAAGCACUGUAAACAAGGAGGAGCGCUGCCAGAACACGAGAGUAGCCUCCGUCAAAUCCACUUACCCCGUGUGUUCGAGCAGCAUAGGGAGGCUGUGUGACAGAAGCUUCAAGGGAAAAAAAUAUCAGUCGUCGACGACGAAACUACCGAUGCAAGAGACUACAGCAUUCUGAACAUUGUCAUUGGUGAGUGAAUUAAGUAGAUAGCAUUCACACCAGUAAAUUAAAAUACAUUAUACUUAUAAGAAUGUAAUGCGAAUUACAUGAAUUACAAUAUUGCAAUGCGUUUGUUAGUUAUGCCAAUAAGUAAAAAUGUGCAUAUUUCUGGUGAAAUAUUUUUUUGUAAAAAUGAACUGUAUCUGAAGGACUAAUAAUUAUUAGGUGAUUACUGGUGAUUAUCCAUUGUUAUUCUGAUGCUAAUUAAAGUAAAGUUAACAAAAUUUCUUCUAAUUUUUUUUCAUUUGUGCAGGUUUUGAAGGCCAGUACUUUCUGGUGGAUGUAAUUUUCAACGUUUGCCCAAGCAGUAUUAGGCUCCCUCCACAACAGCAAACUGAAUCUCAAUGAUGUUUGGGCAGUGGUCACAGACAAUGCUAUUGUGAAAUACAUAAGUUUCUUUCUUUUGCAUGAAAAAUGAAUGUUUUUUGUUGUUUACAGGUAAAUGUUUUACCAAAGCAGUAAAUGUUCUGCUGAACCCAGCACUUUGUUGAAUAAAUCAUUGAAUGUGAGUUUUCUCCUAUUGCAUUGU